GCCGGGCAUGGUGGCGGGUGCCUGUAGUCCCAGCUACUUGGGAGGCUGAGGCAGGUGAAUCACUUGAACCCAGGAGGCAGAGGUUGCAGUGAGCCGAGAUCAUGCCACUGCACUCCAGCCUGAGUGACAGAGUGAGACUCCGUCUCAA
rnacentral:SRP_RNA from 2 species